UAAAAUAUUUUCCUUUCAAGGUAUGAUUGUUUUUAUAAAAUACUUUAAUUUUUUUUGUAUUCAUGUAAUGAAAAAUUAGCAAGUGAACAUCAGAAAAAAUAUGCAGUGUAUUUCUUAACUCUUUCCCAAUGAAUAUUAAACUUCAACAUAUCAUUUUUAAAUAUAGUUUUAAUGAUGUUUUUAGUUAUUUUUACUGUAGAAAGUUUCCCAAAAGUUUGUUUCGUAUCCCUAAUAUUGAUUGGCUGUCUAGACAAAUCAACACUAAUGAUAUGAUUGUGACCAAUCAUAUCAUUAGUGAUGACCAAUCGCUGCCUUCAGCUCUCUUCCACACUAGAAAUUAUACUCUAGAACGAGAUUUUAUAAGCAGCUUUCAUUUUUAGUGGAAAUUAAAACUGUACAUAUUGGCAAAAGAGAGAUUUGAUUCCAUAACAGUUUUGAUGAGGAUGAUGUUUCAUAAAUUCGUCUUAAAAAAUUUCAUUCACUGAUUAUAGAUAAUGAAUUCCAUUAGACAAACAACUGUGUCAAAAAUUAUGGCAGAUGUAUGGUGGGUUAAAUAAUAC
rnacentral:lncRNA from 1 species